UGAGAGUUUUAGAACAUGAACAUUAUCAAACAUGGUCUCCUCAGCUUGUUGGUAUUUGUUCUCUGGAUAGGAGGUCUAAUUGAUGGGGACGAUGUCACCCAGAAUGACACACUGUGGAAGUUCAAUGGCGACAGUGCAACAAUAGACUGCAGUCACACGAAGGGUGCUGGCUACUUCCAGAUGUACUGGUACAGACAGCUACCAGGAGAGGGGAUGAAGCAAAUAGUUUUCACCACUACAACUCCACCACAUAAAUAUGAAAGUGGCUUCAGCGAGGACAAGUUUCCAGCGCAGAAGAACGACCCUCAGACUGGAUCUUUGACAGUGAAGAAGCUGCUGCCUGAGGACAGUGGAGUGUAUUUUUGUGCUGUGAGUCAACACAGUGAUACAGGUGGCUGAG